UUCCUCGCAUGGGGGGUGGUGGAAAGCUCCGGCGGUAUGAGUUGAGCCCGCGGCCUAUCAGCUUGUUGGUGGGGUGAUGGCCUACCAAGGCGGUGACGGGUAGCCGGCCUGAGAGGGUGACCGGCCACACUGGGACUGAGACACGGCCCAGACUCCUACGGGAGGCAGCAGUGGGGAAUAUUGCACAAUGGGCGCAAGCCUGAUGCAGCGACGCCGCGUGAGGGAUGACGGCCUUCGGGUUGUAAACCUCUUUCGCCAGGGACGAAGGGUGAUACUGACGGUACCUGGAGAAGAAGCACCGGCUAACUACGUGCCAGCAGCCGCGGUAAUACGUAGGGUGCAAGCGUUGUCCGGAAUUAUUGGGCGUAAAGAGCUCGUAGGCGGUGUGUCGCGUCUGCCGUGGAAACCUACAGCUUAACUGUGGGCGUGCGGUGGAUACGGGCAUCACUUGAGUUCGGCAGGGGAGACUGGAAUUCCUGGUGUAGCGGUGGAAUGCGCAGAUAUCAGGAG
rnacentral:rRNA from 1 species